rnacentral:tRNA from 1 species
GCAGUCGUGGCCGAGUGGUUAAGGCGAUGCACUACAAAUCCAUUGGGGUCUCCCCGCACAGGUUCGAAUCCUGUCGACUGCG